AAACGACGUUGUUCUGUAUUUCUUUUGUCAACCCCGAGUCUCUCUCCCCCUCCGCCCAACUGUAUAGGCUCUGAAUAUCUCUGGGUUAUUUUCUCGAGAAAAUCUAGCGCCGAGAAAAAUUGGGCGAAUUUUACGACUGCAGCUCAAUUACUUUGCAUUAAUUCUGUAAACAGAAAUGGAUCGGCGGCGACCUGCUAGUCCAGUUUACACCAGGCAGUGGAGUGGUGGCUCGAGCAGCACAGGAUCGUCCUCUCCCGCGAUGUCGCCGGCUCAUCCUCAGUCUCGAUUGGGUGCGUCUUCCACCAUCAAGCGCGCCCAGAAUGUUGCCGCCAAGAAGGCUGCUCAGCGUUUGGCACAGGUCAUGGCCUCGCAGGCCCCGGAGGAGGAGGACGACGAAGACGAUGAUCUCAGCUUUCGAUUCGGUGCCCCACCGCCUCCUCCUACUCACUCGUCUUAUCCAAGUGUUGUGAAUAGUAACAAUACCAAUUCGUUUCAUACGAUUUCGGGUCCCAGGAUUAAUAGAUCUCCUUCCCCCGCGUUAGGUCGGAAUUUCGUAGAGCAUGUUCCUACAGUUCGAUCCACAUCAACUGGUAGAUCAUCGAUGUCCGUGCGUUCUACCCAGAUUGUACCACCGAGUAGAACUUCACUCAGAACUCCAGUCUCCAUACCUCCAAUUGAUCCUCCUUCUAAUAGAGGUGGAGAUAGAAGGUUUACACCAGAUAUUGGACAGGUCAACUCCAAAGAUGAAGGAGAUCGGCGGGAAGCUUCUGCACUACGUGAUGAGCUUGACAUGCUACAAGAAGAGAAUGAGAAUAUACUUGAAAAGCUUCGACAAGCAGAAGAAAGACGGGAAGAAGCAGAGGCUAGAGCUAGAAUGCUGGAGAAGCAGGUUGCUACUCUUGGAGAGGGUGUAUCCUUGGAAGCUAAAUUAUUAAGCAGGAAAGAAGCAGCCUUGCGUCAAAGAGAGGCUGCACUUAAGGCUGCCAAACCAACCAAGGAUAGUAGAGAUGAAGAAAUUGCUGCCCUUCGUUCAGAAAUUGAGAACUUAAAAGGUGAGUCGUCAGAAGCUACAGAACAACUCCGAGAAGCAGAGUCUGAAGCAAAGUCUCUUCGUGUAAUGACACAGAGAAUGAUUUUGACCCAAGAAGAGAUGGAGGAGGUUGUUCUGAAGAGGUGUUGGCUUGCUCGCUACUGGGGCUUAGCUGUUCAAUAUGGCAUAUGUUCGGAUAUAGCAAUCUCAAAACACGAGUAUUGGUCUUCGUUAGCUCCUUUGCCAUUUGAAGUUGUCAUUUCUGCAGGACAAAAGGCUAAGGAGGAGCCUGAAGGUCGAAAUGAUCUAGAUAGGAGUAAGCUCAUCCAGGAUUUAAGUGAUCUAUCUGGGGAAGGAAAUAUCGAGAGUAUGCUUUCAGUUGAAAUGGGAUUGAGAGAAUUAACAUCUCUAAAGGUUGAAGAUGCAACAGUGCUUGCAUUGGCGCAACAUAGACGACUAAGUUUGAUUCAUCAAUCAGAUUCAAAAGCACCUGCUGAUCCGAAGUUUUCUGAGGCUUUUGAACUAAGUGAUGCUGAAGCUGAAGAUGUUCUUUUCAAAGAGGCUUGGCUUACGUACUUCUGGCGAAGAGCCAAGGCAUAUGGUGUGGAGGAGGAUGUUGCAGAUGAGCGGCUUCAGUUUUGGAUCAGUCGUAUUGGACAGCCUCCGACUUCACACGAUGCUGUGGACGUUGAACGAGGUCUUAUAGAGCUCAGAAAGCUGGGAAUAGAACAACAGCUUUGGGAGGCAUCUAGAAAGGAAAUCGAUCAAUCUUCUGCAUUCUCACUCAGUAAUCACAAAUCUGCAAGGGAAUUAGGCACCGUAUCCUGAAAGACCACCGGAUCUAUACGUGUACUCAAAUCUUCAUGUCUCCAUUCCGAUUAAAGUCUCCAGUCUCUGUUUUUUUCCUUUAUAAACAUAUGAAUGGAAAAAAAAACCCGCCGUUUCUCUCUCCUUGGGGAAGGCUCUGAAAGGUUCGUUUUCAACAUUCUGCUCUGUAUCCUAUGAAAUUCAAAACAAUCCGAUUAAAGAAAGUCUAUUUUUAGUCCAAAAGAAAUGAUGGGAGUUAUUCAACAACAUUUCUGUUUCUCAUCUCAACAUUGUGGUGACGCAAUACUAUACUAGUUUGGGUUGACCAUAAAUUUUAACAAAAUCUAGUAAGCAGAUACAUUUAUUGGCGUAGGAUAGAUGAUUUAACCAAAGCACGACUUUACAAGAGAUUAUUUAGGAAUCAAUUAGUUUAACGAAUUCCUGCUCCUAUCCAUAAAAAUCUAUAUCAUCAUCCCUUGUAUUGAAUGUGCCAAGUGUCUAACUUUAGUAGUCUGUUCAUGUAUGAUAUUAACCAUCAUUAAUCAUGCAGAGAAGACCAAGGCAAGACAGCCACAGGCACAGCAGAGACUGAGAGCAAUAUUUUUUUUAGCAAUUUGUAGAUGCGUCAUUUUCAGAGAAGAAGGCGUUGGUAUAUAAUGAAGCCAAAGUAUUUAAUAUUUGCAAAGUGGGGACUGUUCUCUAAGGCCCUUUGGCUUUGGCAAUGGCUGCUCUCUCUCUCUCUCUCUCUAUCCAAUGCCCAACUUCUUCACGAGGUUGCUCCAGUAAUAUUAAUGACGCCCUUAAGUCUGCACCCUCAUUUACUAUUCUUUGUCGCCCUCUCUUUCAGCUGCGCCUCCGAUCCUCAAAUUUUGAAUCUGGCUUCUACCUUGUGGCCUAUUAUUAACCCAUAAGCCCCCACUUACGUACUUGCAGAAACUCAGAAAUGGCAUUAAAUUACCGCUAUAUACUCCACCAUACUGGUCUCUGUGUGUGGAGUUUUGAUGGGGUUUUGUUACUUUUUAAAGAAGUAUUCAAUUGUUUUUGUUUUUGCUUUAGAGGGCCAUAUAUGGCUGAAUCCUGAAAAGGGCGUGGAGGGGAAGAAGGUAAUUGAAAAUGGAGGGUCUUG